AGUGAACGCUGGCGGUAGGCCUAACACAUGCAAGUCGAACGGCAGCACAGAGGAGCUUGCUCCUUGGGUGGCGAGUGGCGGACGGGUGAGGAAUACAUCGGAAUCUACUCUGUCGUGGGGGAUAACGUAGGGAAACUUACGCUAAUACCGCAUACGACCUACGGGUGAAAGCAGGGGAUCUUCGGACCUUGCGCGAUCGAAUGAGCCGAUGUCGGAUUAGCUAGUUGGCGGGGUAAAGGCCCACGAAGGCGACGGUCCGUAGUUGGUCUGGAAGGAUGAUCAGCCACACUGGAACUGAGACACGGUCCAGACUCCUACGGGAGGCAGCAGUGGGGAAUAUUGGACAAUGGGCGCAAGCCUGAUCCAGCCAUACCGCGUGGGUGAAGAAGGCCUUCGGGUUGUAAAGCCCUUUUGUUGGGAAAGAAAUCCAUCUGGUUAAUACCCGGGUGGGAUGACGGUACCCAAAGAAUAAGCACCGGCUAACUUCGUGCCAGCCGCCGCGGUAA
rnacentral:rRNA from 1 species